rnacentral:rRNA from 1 species
AUUGAACGCUGGCGGCAUGCCUUACACAUGCAAGUCGAACGGCAGCAUGGAGAGCUUGCUCUCUGAUGGCGAGUGGCGAACGGGUGAGUAAAGCAUCGGAACGUACCGUGUAGUGGGGGAUAACGUAGCGAAAGUUACGCUAAUACCGCAUACGCACUGAGGUGGAAAGCAGGGGAUCGUAAGACCUUGCGCUAUACGAGCUGCCGAUGUCAGAUUAGCUAGUUGGUAGGGUAAAGGCCUACCAAGGCGACGAUCUGUAGCGGGUCUGAGAGGAUGAUCCGCCACACUGGGACUGAGACACGGCCCAGACUCCUACGGGAGGCAGCAGUGGGGAAUUUUGGACAAUGGGGGCAACCCUGAUCCAGCCAUGCCGCGUGAGUGAAGAAGGCCUUCGGGUUGUAAAGCUCUUUCGGCCGGGAAGAAAUCGCACAGGCUAAUACCCUGUGUGGAUGACGGUACCGGCAUAAGAAGCACCGGCUAACUACGUG